CCGCGCCUGCCCACGAGCGCCGGAGGCCCGCGGCCCAAGCGUUCCGGCCCGAGGCGAGGAGCGCUCGGGGGCCUGAACCGCCGUCGGCAACGGCAAGUUUUGUGAAUAACAGUAAACUACGGUCAUAGGAAGGUUUCUUCGUGCUGGGUCUUUUCUGGGUGUUGAAAUCAGCCUUAGCAAACGUGAUUCUAUCAGACUCCGGACCUCUCUCUUUUGAUAAGCCCCGAAAUGAAAUCAUCAUCUCGGACCACAGCUGGUUUAUAAUCUCAUGUAUCUACACAUUUUUUUUUUUUUAAUGAUAGUCACACAGAGAGAGAGAGAGAGAGAGAGGCAGAGACACAGGCAGAGGGAGAAGCAGGCUCCAUGCACCGGGAGCCCGACGUGGGAUCCGAUCCCGGGUCUCCAGGAUCGCGCCCUGGGCCAAAGGCGGGCGCCAAACCGCUGCGCCACCGGGGAUCCCUCUACACAUGUUUUUAAAUCGGCACGUGCAGCAAUGCUCCAACAUUAAAGAAGAAACAAAGGGAAAGUGAUACGUGACGCUCUUGUUACCCUGUGAACCCUGGACCCACGAAGUGAGCAGGAGCUGGCGCCCAUCCGGGCCCCUCUAGACACACCUACGGACUGCGGGUCCCGCUGCUGGCACAGCAUAGUGCAACUCAAGCCAGACCUUCAACGUGGCACUAGGAACUUGGUACGACGAAUGGCUUUGCAAGUGGAUGUAGCAGGUUGAGUUUAUUUCUCUAUUGAAUCAAGGCAAGCCUGGUGGCUACUUUAAUCAAUAAAAUAUGGUGGAAAUGAUGCUGUGCCACUCCAGGUACAGCAUGGCAGCUGUCACCACCCUCUUUGUACACCUAUGACUUUUAUAUCAGUGGACAAUCACCCAGUCUGCUAAGCCUAGAGUGGAGUUCAUCAUUCUUACCACAGCUCCUUUUCUGAGCUCUGUUACUCUGUGAGAGCAAACAAAGCUUGGUCCAGCUUGGUUCACCAGGAAAGAUCAAUAGUUAAAAAUCCAUGCUGGUACCUACUGUCUGAGAAUAAGGAUCACAUCUAGAGCAUCAAGGGCUUUAUGUCCCAAGAAUGAAGGAAGGAGAAAGGUGGGGGCAGUAGAUGCCCCCUAAAGGCAGCUUCCUGGCUUCUUGGUUCUGAUUCCUGAGAGCAAGAAGAACGGAGAUGUUAGCAGAAACCCAGGAAUCCCCAGUGGGAAAGCCAGAAGAAGAAAAUGAAACACAGUUUUGUAAAUGCCACCCUCACAGCCCUGGGGGUUCCUUCCCAGUCUUCUUUCAGCCAGCGAGAGGAUGCAGCUCAUCUCCGGUACCUCUACCUCCCACAUUGCCACCAAAUGGAGUAAUUCCAGUUUAUCUUCUUGCUGGUCUCCAUUUUACAAACAAAGCUAACAUUUCCUUGAAGAUUUCUAGCCAACAUCGUUGAGGACCACUACUGCAAGGCACAGCCCCAGCUGCAUUUUGGAUCCUAGCUUCUCAGUGUUAUUUGAUGAAAAAUGUGAAAACACGGGGACUUGAUUUACUUCACCUGCACUCGCCCAGAAGCAGGGAUGUCUGUUACUCAGAGUCACCUGGAGGGCUUUCUCCACAAACACAUAUCCAGGCUCUAUCCUCAGAGAUUCUGAUCCAAUGAAAGAGAUGAGGCCUAUGAAUCUGUGUAUUUUAAUGUUCUUCAGAUGAUCUAACGAAGACUAAGGUUUGGAAACGACCAUUGUACUAAACAUUUACAUAUAUUUUGAAUUUAAACAAUAGUAUAGAUCAGCUAGCUUCCCCUUUGAGUUGUACAUUUUAAGAUAUUAAUAAAUAGAUUUUUAAAUAUAUUCCUGAGUGUGGUAGAGCAGGGAAAGGUGAAGAGACUCAGUGAGUUACCUUGUAUUCUGCUCCAGUCUUUUUGGUUCUCGAACUAUUGCACACAUACAUCCUUCUCUCACCAGUUGGUCAUCACGUGCAACUUUUAUGGCUUCUGAUCUCUACUAUUCCAGUAAGCCACCACUUAGAGUGCAGGUAAUCAUCACACCUUUGAUACUUUGCCUUGUCUGGUUUUCUCCAGUCUGAGCCACUGCUGUAGCAGCUGGAGCCAGGCUUUUACAGGCUACUCAGGUGAUGCAGAUGGUCGGCCAGAUUUGGGAACUGCAGCCUAAGUGCUGUUUUUGAUAGCCUACCUUAGCUCUCCUGAACGGUGUUGUGUCCCUUCCAGGUGAAAGAUACUAAAGGAGAUACAUCCUACUAUUCCUUUGGAAGGUUUUGAAACAGAUCAACAAAACAUUCAGAUCAUUCAUAAUCUGAAAUACAUUUCUCUACUCAGAUAUCAAUAGAGACUCACAAACAUCUAAGCCCUGGAUAAGUGUGUCCAUUAACACCUAUUUCCCCACGCAGAAAAGAAGAAAUAAGACCUUCUUAAGGGUGGGUUUGUAAGGAAAGAGGGAUUCAAGUUACAAGAUUUCCUACACUUGAGUAAGGAAUAAUGUGAACAAAUAGAUUAAAAGCACUCUUUAAAUUUCACUGGAUAGUUCUAAUCUGAUGGGAUUUAUAACUAAAAAUUCUAUAAACGCAGCAGUUUCUGAGUUCAAAAUAUUGCUUAAAAAUGAAACAAGAGGGCAUCCUGGGUGGCUCAGCGGUUUGGUGCUGCUUUCAGCCCAGGGCGUGAUCCUGGAGUUGUGGGAUUGAGUCCCACACCGGGCUCCCUGCAUGGAGCCUGCUUCUCCCUCUGCCCGUGUCUCUGCCUCUCUCUCUCUCUCUGUGUCUCUUAUGAAUAAAUAAAUAAAAUCUUUUAAAAAAUGAAACAAGAAAAUGCUAUCAUGUAUCAACUGAAAUUCUGCCCAACCAGCAGUAACUUCUAAAACACCUGUUUGGAGAGCUUUCUAAAACAAAGGGAAGAGGAGGAGGGCAAGAUGGUGGAAGGGUAGGGUCUUCAACUCAUCCGGUCCCACCAACUCACCUAGAUAACUUUAGAAACAUCCUGAACACCUAUGAAUUCGACCUGAGAUUUAAAGAGAGGACAGCUGGAACGAUACAGAGAGAAAAGUAAGUAAGCAAGCAAGUAAA